CCUACGGGAGGCAGCAGUGAGGAAUAUUGGUCAAUGGACGAGAGUCUGAACCAGCCAAGUAGCGUGAAGGAUGACUGCCCUAUGGGUUGUAAACUUCUUUUAUAUGGGAAUAAAAUGUUCCACGUGUGGGAUUUUGUACGUACCAUAUGAAUAAGGAUCGACUAACUCCGUGCCAGCAGCCGCGGUAAUACGGAGGAUCCGAGCGUUAUCCGGAUUUAUUGGGUUUAAAGGGAGCGUAGGUGGAUUGUUAAGUCAGUUGUGAAAGUUUGCGGCUCAACCGUAAGAUUGCAGUUGAAACUGGCAGUCUUGAGUACAGUAGAGGUGAGCGGAAGUCGUGGUGUAGCGGUGAAAUGCUUAGAUAUCACGAAGAACUCCGAUGGCGAAGGCAGCUCACUGGACUGCAACUGACACUGAGGCUCGAAAGUGUGGGGAUCAAACAGGAUUAGAUACCCGUGUAGUC
rnacentral:rRNA from 1 species